UUGAUAAUAACCAACUAGAUUUGCAUUUAGUCAUGCCAUCAAUUAGUCGAUUUUUCUCACAUGAUCUGAUGGCAUUAGAUACUUUCUACCAAAUGUUUUCCUCCAACACGUUUGCUGAUCGAGAUUAAGUGAAUCCAGGAUACCAUCUAUGGUCCUCACGAGCCGAAAUAGGAUAUACAAUUUUGGAAUGACAAACAAUAAAUUUUACCAAAACUGGAAUGCCUUUGUUAUUGAUCAUGACCUUGGAGAAGGAGAGACCCUUUUCUUUAUGUCUCAAUCUUGUAAUUCACUUGCUGUUUUGGUCUUUAGAAUGAAUGGACUUGAAAUCAUGUAUCCAUGGCAUCAUAAGUUCCACAUUUAGUUUAUUUAUUGCUAUAACAUGUACAAUUUUCUUUAA